AUGGUUUAUAGAAAUCGUCUUUGUCCGGUUUGCAGAAAUUCUUGUAGCGUGGCAACAUUUCUGAUAGGCUCAAGUCUGCAUUUUUGUUGAAUUGGCCAAAAGUUGAACAAAUUUAUAGGAUAAAAGUUGUUUUUUUAAGGUGGUGUUUUCUACUAGACAAUUCAUAUUAAAUGUGACACUAGAUGAACUCCCUAUAAGAUAGAAUCAGAAGCAUUUAAUCUAAAGUCUACCAUGUAUUGGUUUAAGAAAAGAAUAUAAGGUGAGCUGGGCUGGGGUUCCAACUUCAAACAGAGAAACCUUGAUUUCCAAUUGCUCCUGUUAAUUUUGUUUUCUUUCUCUACCCAAAGGAAAAUUGGUUUUGUACCCAAAAUAAAAAAUAAAAAAUAAAAAAAGAGAAGGAAAAUUGGUACCUUUACGUUUGUUGCUUACCAAAAGAAGAUCUUUCUCUGAUUGUAAUGAUCCAAAGUAUUUUAUUUUUAUUUUUAUAGAACUGAUUCUGUGUCUCUCAGAUAAAUAAAUACAGCCCAGUUUUCUCCUGCUAUUUCUUCUUGUCUCAGGUACCAUCUCUCUUUAAACCAUUAACCUAUUGUUUUCAAUUGUUUUCUUCUUCUUUAUUUCAGGGGUCUCAUGGUUACAUAACUUGCACAAUUCAGCUAUUGGUUUUUCCCCCCUUUUAAUUAGGCAGUUGAAUUCGGCACUUGCUCAGUGGUUCGCGGCGAUGCGGAGCACUGGUGCCAUAAGCUGAUUGAUCAAUCAAGCAGAUGCGAGCUACAUAGUUGCAUUAAGGAAUGCUCCAAAGAACCAUCUGGUGUGGGAGUGUGCCAAAAUACAGUUUGUUUUUGCACAUACUAUUGUAAGGAUCCUGUAAAGUGA
rnacentral:lncRNA from 1 species